rnacentral:rRNA from 1 species
UUUAAAUUUAGAGUUUGAUCCUGGCUCAGGACGAACGCUGGCGGCGUGCUUAACACAUGCAAGUCGAGCGAUGAAACUUCCUUCGGAAAGUGGAUUAGCGGCGGACGGGUGAGUAACACGUGGGUAACCUGCCUCAAAGUGGGGGAUAGCCUUCCGAAAGGAAGAUUAAUACCGCAUAAUAUAAGAGAAUCGCAUGAUUUUUUUAUCAAAGAUUUAUUGCUUUGAGAUGGACCCGCGGCGCAUUAGCUAGUUGGUAAGGUAACGGCUUACCAAGGCAACGAUGCGUAGCCGACCUGAGAGGGUGAUCGGCCACAUUGGAACUGAGACACGGUCCAGACUCCUACG